rnacentral:lncRNA from 1 species
UUUUAUAUACUAUAAUAUAUUUUAAACACAAAAUUAGUUUCACAUCAUGAUAAGAUUAGUAUCUUACAACAAAUAUCACUCAACUUUAUCAGAUUUUCAUCACCUAAAACACGAAUGAGAGCUUGUUCAGAAUUUAAGUAUAAAUCGCUGGAUUAGACAAAGGUCAGAAAUGGUCAGGUUUUUCAUUUGAGUGGACACAAGUGGGCUGCCCUGAAUGUUUAUUAAGCAAAUUAUACUGUAAAAUUGGCAGGGGGAAGGAUAUUUUCCAAUUUUUGGAUGAAAAAAAAUCGUGAAAAUAUAAACUUUUCAUAUUUUAGGACAAGAAGAAUCAAGGUACCAAAAUAUCAAACUUUUAAUUUCUGUAGUUUACAAAAUAAUCUCAUAUAUCCUUAUAAACAGAAAAUGCAAUCACCCUUUGUAUAAAAAUAAAUGUUUUUUGAAUGUGAUCUAAAUAUAUUUCAAAAUAUUACCCCAUUUCUUUAUAAAAAGUUUUCAUUAAAAAUAUGAUUUUCAAAUUAAACUAUGAAAAGUAUCAUGAAAUAUAAAUGUUCAGUUAUGUUAGUAAAUGAAGGAAUUUAUUGAAAAUUAUAUGAUAAAAGGCACUAUACUAUGCAGGACAUUUUAUACAUACUUUUUACUUAUAGUGAUGUGCUUUAGGAUUUAAACAUGUUGCUUUCGCUUCCAAAUUAAACUAUUUUUUGACUCUCCCUCAACAAACUUAUACGUUAUGACAUAAAGUUUCAACACGAAAUAAAUUUUCCAGCAACCAUUCACCAAACAACCAAUAUUAGAACAUUCAAAAGCCUUCUCCCUCUUAUUUUUCUAUUUUUUAUAUUAGAUACAUAAAUCUUACUAAAAUAAAAAAUCUAAUGAUUUAUACUGUAGAUAAUAUAUAUAAUAAAUAU